rfam:Fukomys damarensis contig72278, whole genome shotgun sequence.
UAGAGUGUAGUGUACUAGGUUGCACGGAGAAUUUUGAGUUCUUUAGUAUAGGUUCAAAUCCUAUGAUUCUAG